GGUUAUGGCUCAGAGGUAGAGUGCUCACCUCGCAUGUGCAAGGCCCUGGGUUCGAUUCUCAGCACCA
rnacentral:tRNA from 1 species